AUGGUAAUCGUAAAAUUUAAAUCGUAUGUAUAUGAACGAUCCAAAACUAUAUAUCUCUUGAUACUUAUUAUUAAAGUUCUUAAGUAAUUAUACUUAUACUUUUAUAAAAUCUAUUUAAUGUGGAUGGUUUAUGUAUGUAUGGUUUGAAUUUUAUGAUCAUCACCGUAUAAAAGAUUAAAGUAGUAAGAAACAUCAUUUAUGUAAAA
rnacentral:lncRNA from 1 species